CAAUAGCGUAUAUUAAAGUUGUUGCAGUUAAAAAGCUCGUAGUUGGAUUUGUGGCGUACGGUGUGUUCCGGGCACUUGUUGUCUGAGUAACCUGCUGUUGCCAUCCUUGGGUGGAACCUGUGUGGCAUUAGGUUGUCGUGCAGGGGAUGCCCAUCAUUUACUGUGAAAAAAUUAGAGUGUUCAAAGCAGGCUUAUGCCGUUGAAUAUAUUAGCAUGGAAUAAUGAGAUAGGACUUUUUUGCUAUUUUGUUGGUUUGCGCAAGAAGGUAAUGAUUAAUAGGGACAGUUGGGGGUAUUCGUAUUCCAUUGUCAGAGGUGAAAUUCUUGGAUUUUUGGAGGACGAACUACUGCGAAAGCAUUUACCAAGGAUGUUUUCAUUAA
rnacentral:rRNA from 1 species